CAGAUGGUAUUAACAUCCAUCAGAUUCUUCCCACUUGACAGAGCUUUACGACCCGAAAGCCUUCAUCACUCACGCGGCGUUGCUGCGUCAGGGUUUCCCCCAUUGCGCAAAAUUCCUC
rnacentral:rRNA from 1 species